AUUGAACGCUGGCGGCAGGCCUAACACAUGCAAGUCGAGCGGAGCGGGGGACGGGGGCGUGAUGCCUAGGACUCUGCCUGGUAGUGGGGGAUAACGUCCGGAAACGGGCGCUAAUACUGCAUACUAUCAGCUGCGCCUAGGUCGGAUUAGCUCGUUGGUGGGGUAAAGGCAGACCAAGGCGACGAUCCCUAACUGGUCUGAGAGGAUGAUCAGUCACACUGGAACUGAGACACGGUCCAGACUCCUACGGGAGGCAGCAGUGGGGAAUAUUGGACAAUGGGCGAAAGCCUGAUCCAGCCAUGCCGCGUGUGUGAAGAAGGUCUUCGGAUUGUAAAGCACUUUAAGUUGGGAGGCGUUACCCGCAGAAGAAGCACCGGCUAACUCCGUGCCAGCAGCCGCGGUAAUAC
rnacentral:rRNA from 1 species